CUCUCUUGUCAGUUAAUAUCAGUUAUCAGUGAUACUUCAUGCUACGAACAUCUGUAGUUCUGUACUUCAUGCUACGAAGUUGUCUAGUCGAGAACGUAGCCUACUCUUGUAGCCUUAUAACAGCCUUUAAUCUAUCCUUGGCAAUUUCAUCUGAUCACGUGGUCUGACUGAAACUGCUCUACAUUUCCCCAAAAUGUCGUCUGUAGCUCGUUGCCAGCUCGUUGCUGCCUGGUUGCUGCACGUACCGGCUGUACUUUCAUCACAUGAAGCAAUACUUCAGAACAGUAAACCUGGUGAAGUCUGCUUCUUUAUUGCAGUCCAAUGUGCGCAUGGACUUGUUGCAGCCAGCUGGUGAAAGGUGUUUCUCAUGCAGGCUUGCUUGCUCUGUACCAUUUGAAGCUUUCAUCAUGAUUACAGCCUCUUUAAGGUCUGAGCCUCUUCGUGGCACUCCAAUGUGCACACGGAUAUGGUGCAGCCAGCUGGUGAAAGGUGGCGGAGUGUCUGUUCGUGAGUGAGUGACUAUAUUCUGCCAAUGACAGUGAACGGGAAUGUGUUGCUGACGGUGUUUUUCGUUUUCACAUUUAAGAACGAUUGAGGUAUUCGGACGCCAUUCAACCAAACUGAAUCGAAAGUGACCAACUCUAAAGCAAGUCAUGCCUUCUCCAUGUGGUCGCUGAUGUGUCAUGAAUAUGCGUCUUCGAGACGGUCUUUACUAUAGUGCAAGACAAUAUUGUGAUGAAAACGGGAAAUCUGAAAUGGUAAAGACUAAAGAUACUUGAAAGAUAAAUCAAGUGGGAUUUCAUGGCCAGUUUGAUUUUGGAGCUGUUUAUGGUGUUGUUGUGUGGUGUGUAGUGGUUUCACAGUCAGUUUCCAGUUGACAGAUGCACUUGAAUGGAGCUUGUGCAGACUUGCAGUUCAACAUUAAACCCCAAUUUCUCAUUUUCCUUUUCUUGUUGUGUUCAUGUGGUGUUGAAAAGUUGGUGAAAAUAGUCCAUUUUACCUGAGAGCUUGUCUUGCAUAUUAUGUCAGCUGCAAUUUUGUCGACAUGUUAUCUUCUGCCACCUGUACCGGCGUUGAGUUAAUACAAUCGCUCGCCGCCGUUCCAUAGCUGAAACAGAAGAGAUGCUGAAAUUCAAGACUGAUGAAUAAUGUAGAUGAUUAUAAGUGCAUAUCUGUGCUCCUUCCUUCCCCUUUUUCUUAAGUAAACAGAACCAACCCCAACCCCUGUAAGCUUGUAAAAUCAAAGUAUAGAGAAAUUAAUGUUAAAGGUACAAUUAAUCAUAGAAGAGUAGUUUCCCUCAUGUAGCCCUCCAAAAUUUCCACAGAUGGUCUUAUCGCAUUAUCACAGCGGGUGAUUAACCAGCUGUAACUGAAUAGUUCUUGUCCUUCUUCUUGAAAGAACAUGACUUCUCUUAAAAUCUGUUAUGCAAAUUUAAAAACCUGUUUAGAAUCAGCAAAUAUUAAAAAAAAAUACAAGUUACUUUGUU